GAAGCCGCAAGGUCGCCAGAGACGGGUCCGCGUCCCAUCAGCUAGUUGGUGAGGUAAUGGCUCACCAAGGCGAAGACGGGUAGCUGGUCUGAGAGGAUGAUCAGCCACACUGGAACUGAGACACGGUCCAGACUCCUACGGGAGGCAGCAGGUGGGGAAUAUUGCGCAAUGGGCGAAAGCCUGACGCAGCCACGCCGCGUGAGCGAUGAAGGUCUUCGGAUCGUAAAGCUCUGUGGGGGGAGAAGAAGAAAGUCGGUGAAGAGCCGGCCCUGACGGUAUCCCCUUAGCAAGCACCGGCUAACUCCGUGCCAGCAGCCGCGGUAAUACGGAGGGUGCAAACGUUGCUCGGAAUCAUUGGGCGUAAAGCGCGCGUAGGCGGCUGAACAAGUUGGAUGUGAAAGCCCUGGGCUCAACCUAGGAUGUGCAUUCAAAACUGUUCGGCUUGAGUCUCGGAGGGGGUCAGAGAAUUCUCGGUGUAGAGGUGAAAUUCGUAGAUAUCGGGAGG
rnacentral:rRNA from 1 species